rnacentral:rRNA from 1 species
UACGUAGGGAGCAAGCGUUAUCCGGAUUUAUUGGGUGUAAAGGGUUCGUAGGCGGCUUCUUAAGUCUGUAGUCUAAUGCUGGAGCUUGACUCCAGUUCGCUACGGAAACUGAGUUGCUUGAGUAUAGUAGAGGCAAGUGGAAUUUCUAGUGUAGCGGUUAAAUGCGUAGAUAUUAGAAGGAACACCAGUGGCGAAGGCGACUUGCUGGGCUAUUACUGACGCUGAGGAACGAAAGCGUGGGGAGCAAAUA